GAGCUUUCUAGUUGGUGGACAGCGCGUGUAACAAAAAUAAGCUAUUUGGCGCCUCAAUCAAAAGCCCAUAAAGCUUAGCCAAUCAAAAGACGACGUUCCUUCGGUCUCGAGGGUCAUCCCUGCGGACCUGUGAAGAAGAAUGAUUCGGGCCAGACAUGAUAAAAGAUGAAGCCUAGACGAGGAGACGUCUCCAUCAUCAUCAUGUGACUCCCCUGGGACCAGCAAGGCACAGGGUGGCCAGCUGGGACAAGAGCCCAACACUCCAAAUGUCUCUCCACUAGUGGCACUUAUCAGGAAGAAGAGACCCUGGUUGUCAACAUUGUACCCACCAUGGCACACCACCCAGUUGAUCUCCUUGUUAAAAUAUCUUGCAUACCGUAUGACAUUCAGGAGCCGAUAAAGGACCGAGAGAGCAGAGUUAAGUCCGGAUUCCUUGUGUAGUCCCCGUGAAGGACAGUUUAUGGCGGAUUUCUUUACUGCACAGUUUGGCACACCCCUUUUUUUUUACUGGGAGAGGAGAAGGCUUAACAGUUCAGAAACUAGUAAUAAGCGCCAUGUGAACUAUACAGGUCCUUAAAAUGAGCUCUCAGAUGCUGUUUACAAGACCGGUACCUUUUAAGAGUCUGUCUUUUCCAACGGCGGAAAGUCAAAUUGCCCUCCUCUUAAUUAUUGUCAGGGUGCAUGAUUUUUAUGAGGACCAGUCACAAUGCGAUACACCUGACAAUUUAAUUUUGACUCUUAUUAAAAGAGAGCAGUUGAUUCUGUCCAUUUAUUUAUUUAUUUAUUUUUGUUGUCAUUUAUGUAUUUGUUUGUUUAUUUGUUUAUUUAUGUUUUUGUUUAUGUAGAUACAAAUACGAGGUUGACAUUUGGGCACGCUGAAAACAUGAUUGUGGCUUUGCGGUUUAGCAGCCUCUAGCACUUCUUACUAUGAGGUGUGAGCUUUGGCAGUGUGGGUGAGCAUGGUGCUCCGUAGACCAGUAGCCAGUAGGUGGUGGUAGUAGCACUAGUAUGAAUCAGACUCCUGUAUUGGCCAAUGAUGUGUAUGUCUAGGAUCUUGGCUCAGUAACCAGGGGAAGGGAGAGGGGGAGAAACGGAUGGAGGGGCAUUUGGUGCACUGUGCUUCCUGUUAGUAGGCACUGGGGAACUCAGGCCUUUACAGAAAUGACAUGCUGCUGACACUGAGAGCUUCCCGGGAGCAGCUCAGUAUAGCUGGAUCUUAUUGUAAAAGCUUGGGUAGCAAUGUGUUUGACUUGAAGCACAAUAUACAAUCAAUGUAGAAAGCCUCCCAAUGAAACCAUAUGUUGAUGGAACCAUACCUUGUUAUUACAAGGAUUUAUAGUCAGUGCAUUACAUCCCACUCAAAUCUGGAUGUUGGGAGAAAACAUUUCAAUGUUGUGAAUGGAAAUGCAGUUAAACUUGGUGCUAGCCAGGCGCUGUUUAGUCAGGGAUGGUCAGUGUUUAGUCAGGGAUGGUCAGUGUUUAGUCAGGGAUGGUCUGUGUUUAGUCAGAAUGCACCUAUCUGUGCCUCUGUCUGUCUGUUUCUUCUCUUUCAGAUGACUGUGGAUCAACCUGACCAACUGCAAGUUCGAGAGCGGUGAGUACCUCCCUCCCGUCCUCCUAACUAUCAAACCUGAUGAUUAGCAAAGAGAUGUACACACUGAAUGACUGAAUACAGUAAUGACUAAUGAUAAUGGAUCGUACUUAAUCCCUAUAGAGCUGAUCAAUCAAUGCCAUUGUCUCCAUGAUGUAGUGCCAUUGAUCAAGCGUCAUUAAAAUAUCAUCAAUUGAGCUCAUUAACCUAGACCUAUUGUGCUCUCAACACUCGUGGCCUUGAGCAUCCGGUUUUUAGUAAGAAGCAAAAGUGAUUGACAAGCUGUUUUUUUUUCAUAUUCUGUAUUGCGAUAUUUAUCAAAUGCUGAUCUAGUAUAAUAUUGUUAUCCUGAUCGGCAGUAGAAUUAAGUGUCAAAUUUGUUUAGUACUGUCACAGAGAAAUGUUGGUACACCAGUGUGAUGACAGAUAUAUCCCUCUGACUAUUUGACCCAUCGUUCAGUUUCAAUGAUUCACACAGUUAGAAAUUGGAAAGACCCAAUGGUUCUGUCUUGUCACAUUGAAAGUAAAGGAAUUAUCCCGACACAUCAAGUAUUUACAGACUCUUCCAAGACGGUCUCGGCAUAGCCAACUAUUCAUAUUGGCCUAACUUAUACUACCGUUGAAAAGUUUGGCGUCACUUAGAAAUGUCCUUGUUUUUGAAAGAAAAACACAUUUUUUUUGUCCAUUUAAAAUAACAUAAAAUUGAUCAGAAAUACAGUGUAGACAUUGUUAAUGUUGUAAAUGACUAUUGUAGCUGGAAACAGAUGAAGGCCAGCAUCCCGGAGUCGCCUCUUCACUGUUGACAUUGAGACGGGUGUUUUGAAGGUACUAUUUAAUGAAGCUGCCAGUUGAGGACUUGUGAAGCGUCUGUUUCUCAGACUAGACAUUCUAAUGUACUUAUCCUCUAGCUCAGUUGUGCACUGGGGCCUCCCACUCCUCUUUCUAUUCUGGUUAGAGACAGUUUGCUGCACUGUUCUGUGAAGGGAGUAGUACACAGCAUUGUACGAGAUCUUCAGUUUCUUGGCAAUUUCUCGCAUGGGAUAUCAUUUCUCAGAACAAGAAUAGACCGACGAGUUUCAGAAGGAAGUUCAUUGUUUCUGGCUAUUUUGAGCCUGUAAUCGAACCAACAAAUGCUGAUGCUCCAGAUACUCAACUAGUCUAAAGAAGGCCAGUUUUAUUUCUUCUUUAAUUAGCACAACAGUUUUCAGCUGUGCUAACAUAAUUGCAAAAGUGUUUUCUAAUGAUCAAUUAGCCUUUUAAAAUGAUAAACUUGGAUUAGCUAACACAACGUGCCAUUGGAACACAGUAUUUCUGAUCAAUUUGAUGUUAUUUUAAUGGACAAAAAGUGUGCUUUUCUUUCAAAAACAAGGACAUUUCUAAGUGACCCCAAACUUUUGAACGGUAGUGUAAAUGUCCAAAGCAAUAUCUUUGAGUUGAAGAGAAGCUCAGCCUCCAAAAUGAGGUCAUGGUGUGUUUAGUAAGGACUGUAUGACUUUCUGAGGGAGGGAGAGAGAGAGAGAGAGAGAAGGGAAAGGACUAUCUGGGCUGGGGAAGAGACGUUAAGAGACCGGCUUUAGGAUCAUGGGCAAACUGCACGUAUAUACAAGCCCAUAAAAUUGUGGCAUGCUUUGUUGGCAGAGCCAGACGGCGUUCAGACUGCUCUACAUUCGGGGCAUGUGAUGAGAAGGCAGCUGUGCUGUGCCUCCUUUCCCUUCGCAUAGGGAUUUCCCACACUCUGUGUCUCUGGGUUCAAACAACAUACUAUAAGUGUGUAAAAUGCACGCACAUGCAAACACACCCACACAGAGAGGGAGAACAUGAGCAACCAUGUACACAACCACAGAACUAAGCAGUAAGCAUUGCGACCAUAUCCGAUCCGAAAACCCACACAACUACACAAGUUCUACCCAUUACCACAACCUUUUGAUUAUGUUAUCCACAAACCCAGUACUACACUACGGCACACAAUUCAACACAACACCAAAGUAACACUUGUGAUACUCAACCAAGAACACACAUACAUUUACUGUGUCCAUACAUACACAUCAUGAACCAAACCACACAUUUCCUUCACUUCCUACCAAUGGCAAAUAAAGAUCCUUAGAUCCGUUCUCUAGUUGAGUGUCAGAUGUAGAUUAUUAUUUCCAGAAAUGAUUAAAUGCAUGUUCAGUAUCUUCAUGCCAAAAUAUUCUGAACGCCAAGAAAAUAUGAUGUUGCUAAUUUGGUAUUGUCUACAUAUGGACAGUCUGUCAAUGGUAUCAAGACCAGUAAGUUGAUACAGUACCAUAGUAUGAACACAUACUGAUAAUAUGAUGUAAAGUGCCUUCAGAAAGUAUUCACACCCCUUGACUUUUUCCACAUUUUGUUGUGUUACAAAGUGGGAUACAUUUUUUUUUUACAAUAAAAAAAUAAAACACUAAUAUACACUGCAUGAUAUAAAGUAUGUGGACACCUGCUUGUCGAACAUCUCAUUCCAAAAUCAUGGCCAUUAAUAUGGAGUUUGUCCCCCCUUUGCUGCUAUGACAGCCUCCACUCUUCUGGGAAGGCUUUCCACUAGAUGUUGGAACAUUGCUACAGGGACUUGCUUCUAUUCAGCCACAAAAGCAUUAGUGAGAUUGGGCACUGAUGUUGGGCGACUAGGCCUGGCUUGCAGUCAGUGUUCCAAUUCAUCCCAAAGGUGUUCAAUGGAGUUGAGGUCAGGGCUCUGUGCAGGCCAGUCAAGUUCUUCCACACCGAUCUCGACAAGCCAUUUCUGUAUGGACCUUGCUUUGUGUAUGGGGACAUUGUCAUGCUGAAACAGGAAAUGGCCUUUCCCAAACUGUUGCCACAAAGUUGGAAGCACAGAAUUGUCUAGAAUGUAAUUGUUUGCUGUAGCAUUAAGAUAUUCCUUCAUUGGAACUAAGGGGCCAAGCCCGAACCAUAAAAAACAGUCCCAGACUAUUAUUCCUCCUCCACCAAACUUUACAGUUGGCACUAUCCAUUCGGGCAGGUAGUGUUCUCCUGGCAUCCGCCAAACCCAGAUUAGUCCAUCGGACUGCCAGAUGGUGAAGCGUGAUUCAUCACUCCAGAGUCCAAUGGCGGCGAGCUUUACACCACUCCAGCCGACGCAUGGCAUAGAGCAUGGUGAUCUUCGGACAUUGUAACAAUAAUCGACAGCACCAUGGUGAACAAAAGGACACAUAUAUAUACAAAUACCAUCAGUGGGAAUAGGGGUCAGGUGUGCGUAAUGAAAGUUCCAGAGGGAUCCGUGACAAGUUAUGUCCUCAAACACUACAGUCCACAAAAACACUACAGUUUAACUAUAGUAAUAGUACAGUAUUUAAUUUGCAUAUACUCUGCCCAUUCCCCUCCCCCAUAUCCCAAUUUGUGCCACCCAUAAGUGAGAAACCUACAUGCCAAGUAUAGACCAUUUAUUGUGGUCCCUACUGGUUAUAGAAAAGAGCAGAAGCUCUGAACUAUCUGUUCAGACCCCAGUCCUACCAACCUACAGGUUAUAGAAAAGCCACCAUGUUCUAUGUUAAAUAUAAUAAAACAAAAACACUAUAGUAAAAUGUUAGUGUAAACUGUAAAAACAGUAGUACAUACUACAGUGUACUACAGUCUGCAAAAACACUACAGUCCUCAAAAAACAACGGUUUUCCCACUAUAGUAAUAAUACAGUAUUUAAACUAUAGUAUUUUUGAAUGUGGGCCUGACAGAAGAUCAACCACUUCCCUGGCAUGAUGGAGCUGUGCAAGAAGAACAUACUGGCUCGCAACAUUUACCGCAUGCUGAAGAGGUUCCCCAAGGUGUACAACAUCUUCCCCCGCACCUGGUGACGCUCCCAUUAGUCAAUUGGCACUAGCCUGGUUAAAUCAAACUGAAUGCUGCGCUCACCAUCAGGGCAUAAAAUUUACUUUUUGGUCCCCUAGCCACUGUGGCAGGUAGAUGAAAAAAUCUAGCCACUCAGAUUUUUUCCUCCAGACAAAAUAUUUUUUCCCCAGCUAAAAUGACACCAAAAAACACCAAAAAACAUAUGAGCAUGCUCUGUAAUGUUUCUAAAACACUCAAAUGUAUUACUAGUAAGAAGUAACUAAUGUGGUAUAUUGAAUAAUAUAUAUAUAUUUUUUAACCAAAAUAUCACAGAUGGGGGGGAAAAAAGUUAACCGGCCACUUUAAGACCGGGAAGUCACCGUGGUAGCGAGACUCAAGUCAUGUUUGUGCCUGUGUGAUUAAGGCUGCGUUUCAAACUCAUAAAAGACACACCCUCCUCCAUUUACCCUAGCUUUAUGCGCUUGGGGGAAUCCCCACGGCCAUCUUUGUCGUCAGUCCAAACAAUUAGCCAAACAAGGGAAGUUCGCUACGUAAGCCCCUCAACCCUCGUUUUUGAUCGAGUCAAUUAUGUUCACUUCGGAGCCUGAAACGCCCCAUAAUUCAAUUCGCGAUGAUUGUACAUCCGCUAAGAAAAGUCAGCCAAAACUUAAAACCUCAAUGUCAAUACGGAGAAGUUAACAUACAAGUGUAAGUAAAAACUAAGGUAAAUAACUUAGAAAUGUUGCUACUAAUGCACAUGACAGCACAAACACGUCUUGUAAAAGUAAUGAUGUUUUUGUUUGGUUAGCUUUUGGAAAUGGUAUAAAUAAAACAUUUUCCUUCAGAAGUUCCAGCUUGGCAGGCUAACGUUAAUUAAUUUGCUAGCUAUCAUACAGUAGGCGUAUAUUAAUAAUUAUAUAGUUAAUAUAAGUAGACAUGCAAUCCAUAAUUGACUGUAGCGCAUAUAAAGCACCCACAAGCUACCAGUGGCUGAAAACACAAUCGUUGCGGGAUGAACGAGUGACGAAUUUCCGGGCAAGGGCGGUCCAUUUAAAAUGAAUUCCUUCCUCCCUCACCCCUCACCCUUUGCCCUGCAAGUGUAAACUGCGGCUCAGUUGGUAGAGCAUGGUGUUUGCAAUGCCAGCAUGGUGUGUGCAACGCCAGGGCUGUGGGUUCGAUUCCCACGGGGGGCCAGUACAAAAAAAAAAAUUAUGAAAUGUACGCAUUCACUACUAAAAGUCUCUCUGGAUAAGAGUGUCUGCUAAAUGACUAAAAUGUAAAUGUAAUGAUACGUCAUCAGAAGUGUCCACUUAAUUUGAGGGCUGAGGGGAGAGGGGGUGUCUUUUAAGUGUUUGGAAUGCAGCCUAAGUCUGAUUAGUGAAAGUGGUCUUCUCUUCCCUAGCAGUUGAAACUCAAACAUAGAAAAACAACCUAGCUUGUGAACAAAACAAUGUAAAUUAGCCAAGAAACACAAGGACAAAGUCUCGCUGUUGCAGCGCGAGUAGGCUUUAUAGAAUUUCUUUGACUUUGUGAGAUUAAUUUACCAGCUAUGAAACAAAACGGUGCAAAUGCUUUCAAAACAGCUGCUGCAGCAUUUAUUUGACUAUAAAUGUGAUCAUACUUGACUAUUUUUAUUCAGAAAUCAAAUGCUUGCGCUGUGGAGCCUUGACCAACCGCCAGCGUGGCUGGUGAAAUAGACAUCUUACCCGACAAUGCCAAAAUCUACCCAUAUUUGGCAGGUGUUAAUUGUAUGCCCUGCUCACCAUUCAAUCUGGUUUAACCACGCUAGAUUGAUACACCUUUUACAUUAGAUAAUACACCAUUAUCCUUUGAUUGCAUGAUGUCUGUGAAUGAAAAUCCCAAACUCUUUCUUAGAGGACAGAGGGGAGAUGGACAUUAUUGGCCCUGUACCCUGCGGUGUACUUUGGAAUUUGAUAAUGCUUUCUAUUUGUUAUCUAAAUCAAGGUUUCCCAACCAUUUAGGGAUAUCGGGUCUAGACUUUAUUUUCCUUAUUAUUAUUGUUAUUAUUAUUAUUAUUUGUAUGAUUAUUAUUAUUAUUACCAUUAUUAUGUUUUAACAUUAACUAGCCUACCAAAAUAUGUAAUGAGUCUUGUUAAACUACAUAAAAUUGCAGGAAAUGAGCUUAAAAAACAAACAUUUUCCUAGGUCCUUCAAAUUAAAUAAAUUCAAACUGGUGUUUUAUUUAAUAUACGCUAUCUAAAUAUACCACAUUUUUAUGACAUUUUUUUUAUGUGAAAAGGGGGCCCUGGGGAAAAAUGGCUGGGACCCCUGAUUUAAAUAAUUUCUGAAAGUACAAUAGGAGCAGGAUUAACUUUUUUUAUUUUAUUGUACUGCAUUUACAAGAAGAUGUGAAGAAGAUGCAGCUGUGUUGGAAAUGGAUCUAAACAUCUGUGCUUCUUUUUUGGCAACUGAAGCCUUGUCUUUUAUAAUACUGCCUCUUGUAUUUAAACGUCUUUGUUGUGUACCUCCCACUACCGCUCCACAGUUACAGUGACUUCCAGGCCUACACCAGGGCCAAAAAGCACAAGACGUACAGUACCAGUCAAAAGUUUGGACACACCUACUCAUUCAAGGGUUUUUCAAUAUUUUUACUAUUUUCUACAUUGUAGAAUAAUAGUGAAGACAUCAAUACUAUGAAAUCACACUUAUGGAACACUUAUUUCAUACUUGUGAUGUCUUCACUAUUGUUCUACAAUGUAGAAAAUAGUAAUAAUAAAGCAAAACCCUUGAAUGAGUAGGUGUGUCCAAAAGUUUGACUGGUACUGUACAUCUGCAAGGCGGACACGGGCAGCCAGGGCCGUGACAUCUACCUCACCAAGUCCACCAAAGACUUCCCACACGGAGAGCACAUGAUCUGCCGGAUCUACAUCUUCAGGGCAUGACUGUAGUCUCAUGUACUGCAACAAAUAAUAACAUAGUGCAUAGAUCUGUGGUUUUCAACCUGUGGUCCUUAGGGCUACUGCAGGUGGUCGUGGUUUUUAAAAUAGUAUUUCUUCCUAAAAUAACAACAUUUGGGAAUAUUAAUGGUAUAAUAAGCCAUUUUAAAUAGCGUUUAACAAUGCAGAUUGUUUAUCAUUAUAAUAAUAAUAAUAAUAGGCCUUUAAACUUUUACAUUCACUGAUAAAAUGUACUCUAAAUUGUAUUUAUUUAAAAUUCUGCAUCUGCGCGAAUGGUGGUCCACAAACUUUUGACUGUGGUCCCCGGAACGGAAAACUUUGGGAACCAAUAGAUGUAUGUGGCUCCUGUUCCUAUUCUAUUCAAUGUUAUUGAAUAUAUUCCAUAAUAUCCAGUAACUGGAGUUGCCAGGGAAGGCGAAACAGGCAUUUUCUCAACCUGUCUUGUCAUAUCUCCAGAUAUUCUACUUUGUCUCAGCCUCUUGUUCCUCUCUGCCACCACAAGCAGCCAUUGGUCAUUGACGGCUUCACGUUUGACCUGCGCAGCUACGUGCUGGUGAUUUCUGCGACCCCCUUCCGUAUCUUCCUGUAUAAGGAGCAGCUGGCCCGCUUCUGCACCCGCCACUUCAACUACUCCACCCGCAACAACGUGGUGCGGCACGGCACAACCACAGGAGAGGGCAACGUGUUUUACAUUGUGUGCUUCUCAUGUUUAUUUCAAUGUCAUUGGUCUUUUAUGUUCGUACUGUGUAGUUUUGUUAGGGAUCGUAUUUAAAGUUUCAAGUUUUUUAUGCCACGUGCACAAGUACAGUGAAAUGCCUUUCUGGCAAGCUCUAAACCCAACAAUGCAGUAUUCAAUAUUAAUAUAGUGCUACAAAUAACAUAAGGUCAAACAAACACACAAGAUAUUAAAAUAAGAGCACGAGAAGUAAUUAAGCUAUAUACAGGGUCAGUUCCAAUACCAGAUUUACAAUGUGCAGGGAUACUGGAGUGAUAGAGGUAGAUAUGUAUAGGGGUAAGAUGACUAGGCCUCAGGAUACAAUAUAUGAUAAACAGUGUAGCAGCAUAUGAUGAUUGUACUGUAUGUGAGUGUGUGUAAAUGUGCCAGUCUAAAUGUGUGUGCAUGUUAUGUGUGUGUGAGCAAAUUAAGUGUGUGUGAGUGUGCAUAGAGACAGUGCAAAAAUAAAAUGAAUGUAUAGUACAAUGUAGGAUAGAAGUGGUAACAUUUGUUUUCAUCAGGAAAUUGAUAUGUUGUACAUCAUCAGUAUGUUCUAAACGUGUUCAAGGGGACAGAGACAGACAGGAACACACUCAAACACAGACACGCAGGCAGACGGACUUAGAUAAGAUAGACGUCUGUCUUUGAACUCAGUGGGUGUGUUCAAUCUUGCUCCUCUCAAACCGUAUUUGUUUACCAGUGAUAUGGCCCCAUUGAUGACUCAAGCUACUGUUUUACAAGCUCUUGUCAUAAAAGACUUAGCAUGGGCCGACAUCGAGGAUGUGGUGAUCAAGGCUCUGGUCUCAGCCCACUCAGUGCUCCACCACAGCUACCACACCUGCUUCUCGCACAACACCACCACCAGUUCUCUGCCCCCGAGCCUGCCUGCCAUCCUGCACCUGCCUGACUCUGACCUGAUCACGUACCACGUACCUCUGCCUGCCCUCUGCCUGCCCUGUGUUUCUAAUAAAUAAUCUGAGAACUGUACUAUCCGCCUCCCGUGUCUGCAUCUGGGUCAUAUCCUGAGUCUGAUAGUACAAACUGGCCAUGACUGACCCAGCAGACUCUUACCGGCUCUGCAGCGCCAUCUUCUCCCAGGGAGCCACCAUUGGAAGACACAACGAGUUACUUAAAGUACUUAUGGAAGGAUUCCAGACCUUGGCGGUACACCAGGACCGUGCCCUCAACACAUUGCUGGAACAAUUCCUCGGAUUGUCUGUGAGGCAGCCCGCCACUACAGUAAUCCCCCAGACUGUCAAUUACCCCACUACCACUGGCGUUUUUCCCCAAUCUACCCUGGCUUCCCAAGAACCCUGCAUACCUCCUCCGGAUCGCUACGCUGGAGAUCCCGGAUUCUGCCGGGCAUUUCUCUCCCAGUGUUCUCUCAUAUUUGAGCUGCAGCCCUCUUCAUUUGCAUGCUACCCUGGUGUCGGAGCAGGGAAUCCCCACACAACCCCUCUCCAUUCCCAUGGACAUCAGAGUGUCGGAUGGGCGCUCUAUUGGCAGAGUCACCCACACCACGUGUCCCAUUAACCUGAGAGUGUUGGGUAAUCACAGUGAGUUUAUGCAGUUCCUGCCGAUCGAAUCCCCUCAUGCACCUGUGGUUUUGGGGUUUUCCUGGCUCCAGACGCACAAUCACCUGAUCGACUGGGCUACUGGUUCUAUCCUGGGUUGGAGCCCGUUUUGCCAUGGGCAUUGCCAGAAGUUGGCGCUGCCUGCCCCGGGACGUCUUCCUGUGGGCUUGGGAAAAGCCCCGGACCUCUCCCCCGUUCACGCGGAGUACCAGGACCUCCAGGAGGUUUUUAGCAAGGCCCGUGCAAGUGCGCUUCCUCCGCAUUGGCCCUAUGACUGCGCCAUCGACCUUCUCCCGGGUACUACACCGCCUCGGGCGCAGCUUUAUUCCCUGUCAGGUCCGGAGACCAAGACAAUGGACCUGCCCUUUGCCUGCCCUGGCGUUUUGAUGGGUCCCCCCGCGGGACGGAUGAGCUAACAUAGGCUAAUGCGAUUAGCAUGAGGUUGUAAGUAACAAGAACAUUUCCCAGGACAUAGACAUAUCUGAUAUUGGCAGAAAGCUUAAAUUCUUGUUAAUCUAACUGCACUGUCCAAUUUACAGUAGCUAUUACAGUGAAAUAAUACUAUGCUAUUGUUUGAGGAGAGUGCAUAGUUAUAAACCAAUUAGGCACAUUUGGGCAGUCUUGACACAAACAUUUUAACCGAAAUGCAAUGGUUCAUUGGAUCAUUCUAAAACUUUGCUCAUACACUGCUGCCAUCUAGUGACCAAAAUCAAAAUUGCGCCUGGGCUGGAAAAAUAUAUUAUGGCCUUUCUCUUGCAUUUCAAAGAUGAUGGUACAAAAUAAAAAAAUUAAGAAACGUAUGUUUUUUUCUAUGUAUUAUCUUUUACGAGGACCAGCACCUGGGCGGCAUCCGCAGGAUCUUCCCCCGCCAGGGAGGGGAGGAGUACGACAAGUACCUCAAACACAGCAGCUCCCUCUUCCAGGAGACAGCUGCCACCAAGGCCAGAGAGAGGUGCACCAGGUUUACUGGAUAAGGGUAAAAUCCACAAAGUACCCCUCUGCCCCAUCCAUCCCAAUCCUCUGGCCGACUCCGCUCACUUCCUCCCAGGGUGACCCAGGCGCUGAAGGAGGAAGAGGAGGGGGUGGAAGAACGUCUCGGGGCUGCAGCUGAGGGCCAGCCUGCUCAGAGACCUGGGCAGACCAGGUGUACGUCACAAUGCCACCUGUUGUCAAGACUGACUUACGGCAAUAUAUAAGCAACAUGGCAGCCAAGUCAGUGCCUCUCUGAGUAAGCUGGGUAACCACAACAACAGCAGCUCUAACGGGCCCUUUGCUGAAAUGCACGUGCAAGGCCCUCCCCCUAUCACCCUGAGGCCGCCCCACCCAAGGCUGCCCCACCCUCAGGUAUGUGAAGGACCCAGCGAUUGUUUUUGGUAACAAAUGCCACCUCUCUUCAGGUUUUGGGCAAGUUGGUAAGACAAGGUGGGUGAAAUAAGAUUUUCCCACACCUUUGGGGAAACCACAGCAGCUGUCUUAGUCUUCAGCUGUGACCUAGUGUGGACGCAGCGCAAGGCUCUCACUCCAGCAGCCCACUUCCGGCUGCCGCAGCUGUCCAGCGGACACUUUGUGGUGUCGUAGGGAGUGAGGAAGAUAUACCAGGCUACAGACCAGACUGUGGUCAACCGCUGUGAUUAGGCAGAACACCAGACCAGGAAGCACCUCGUCGACAACAAGGCCAUCGACCACGAUCACUUAAGGGACCUGCUCAAAGAAGAAGCUAUGGACUUAGAUAACGGCAAGUCUGCUGACCCUUCCAUGAACCAGCCAAACCAGCCGAUCUGAGACUCGUUGAGACUAUGUUGUACAGGUCAACAUAACUACAGGCAUGCUUGUGGAUUGCAUGCUGACACUUGUUUUUACUCUGCCAAGAUGAUUUUGUCCAGAUGAGAAUGUGGAUGGAACAUUGGUUCAUCUAUCAAGCCUCAUCAAGAGACGUUACUCCUCAAUAAUAAUACCUACAUGUUUCAAGCAGACCACCAAGGAAGUGAAGGUAACCUGCCUAAAUGAUUACUGCACCGUGGCACUCACGUCGGUAGCCAUGAAGUGCUUUGAAAGGCUGGUCAUGGCUCACAUCAACAGUAUCCUCCCGGACACCCUAGACCCACUCCAAUUCACAUACUGCUCCAACAGAUCCACAGAUGACGCAAUCUUAAUCGCACUCCACACUGCCCUUUCUCACCUGGACAAAAGGAACACCUAUGUGAGAAUGCUGUUCAUUGACUACAGCUCAGCGUUCAACACCAUAGUGCCCACGAAGCUCAUCACUAAGCUAAGGACUCUGGGACUAAACAACUCCCUCUGCAACUGGAUCCUGGACAUCCUGAUGGGCCGCCCCCAGGUGGUAAGAGUAGGCAACAACAUGUCUGCCACGUCGAUCCUUAACACUGGUGCCCCUCCUGUAUUCCCUGUUCUCCCACGACUACGUGGCCAAACACGACUCCAACACCAUCAUUAAGUUUGCUGAUGACACAACAGUGGUAGGCCUGAUCACCGACAACGAUGAGACGGCCUAUAGGGAGGAGGUCAGAGAACUGGCAGUGUGGUGCCAGGACAACAACCUCUCCCUCAAUGUGAGCAAGACUAAGGAGCUGAUUGUGGACUAUAGGAAAAGGCGGCCGAACAGGCCCCCAUUAACAUCGACAGGGCUGUAGUGGAGCGGGUCGAGAGUUUCAAGUUCCUUGGUGCCCAUAUCACCAACAAACUAUCAUGGUCCAAACAUACCAAGACAGUCUUGAAGAGGGCACGACAAUACAUUUUCCCCCUCAGGAGACUGAAAAGAUUUGGCAUGAGUCCCAAGAUCCUCAAAAGGUUCUACAUCUGCACCAUCGAGAGCAUCCUGACCGAUUGCAUCACCGCCUGGUAUGGCAACUGCUUGGCAUCUGACCGUAAGGCGCUGCAGAGGGUAGUGCGAACGGCCCAGUACAUCACUGGGGCCAAGCUUCCUGCCAUCCAGGACCGAUAUAAUAGGCGUGUCAGAGGAUAGUCCAUACAAUUGUCAGAGACUCCAGUCACCCAAGUUAUCGACUGUUUUUUCUGCUACCGCACGGCAAGCGGCACCGGAGCGCCAAGUCUAGGACCAAAAGGCUCCUCAAUGUCAUCUACCCCCAAGCCAUAAAUUCAUAAAAUCGCCACCGGACAAUUUACAUUGAUUCCCCCCCACUCCCUUUUGUACACUGCUACUACUCGCUGUUUGUUUGUUACCUAUGCAUAGUCACUUCGCCCCUACCUACAUGUACAGAUUACCUCAUAGCCUGUACCCCCGCACACUGACUCUAUACCGGUGCCCCCUGUAUAUAGCCUCGUUAUUAUUAUUCUUGUUGUGUUACUUUUUAUUAUUACUUUUUUUAUUUUAGUUUACUUGGUAAAUAUUUUCUUCUUCUUUGACUGCACUGUUGGUUAAGGGCUUGUACAGUUGAAGUUGGAGGUUUACAUACACCUUAGCCAAAUACAUUUAAACUCAGUUUUUCACAAUUCUUGACAUUUUAAUCCUUGUAAAAAUUCCCUGUCUUAGGGCAGUUAGAAUCACCACUUUAUUUUAAGAAUGUGAAAUAUCAGAAUAAUAGUAGAGAGAAUGAUUUAUUUCAACUUUUAUUUCUUUCAUCACAUUCCCAGUGAGUCAGAAGUUUACAUACACUCAAUUAGUAUUUGGUAGCAAUGCCUUUACAUUGUUUAACUUGGGUCAAGCGUUUCGGGUAGCAUUCCACAAGCUUCCCACAAUAAGUUGGGUGAAUUUUGGCCCAUUCCUCCUGACAGAGCUGGUGUAACUGAGUCAGGUUUGUAGGCCUCCUUGCUCGCACACGUUUUUUCAGUUCUGCCCACAAAUUUUCUAUAGGAUUGAGGUCAAGGCUGUGUGAUGGCCACUCCAAUACCUUGAUUUUGUUGUCCUUAAGCUAUUUUACCACAACUUUGGAAGUAUGCUUGGGGUCAUUGUGCAUUUGGAAGACCCAUUUGCGAGCAAGCUUUAACUUCCUGACUGAUGUCUUGAGAUGUUGCUUCAAUAUAUCCACAUAAUUUUCCAUCCUCAUGAUGCCAUCUAUUUUGUGAAGUGCACCAGUCCCUCCUGCAGCAAAGCACCCCCACAACAUGAUGCUGCCACCUCCGUGCUUCCCGGUUGGGAUGGUGUUCUUCGGCUUACAAGCCUCCCCCCUUUUCCUCCAAACAUAACAAUGGUCAUUAUGGCCAAACAGUUCCAUUUUUGUUUCAUCAGACCAGAGGACAUUUCUCCAAAAUGUACGAUCUUUGUCCCCAUGUGCAGUGGCAAACCGUAGUCUGGCUUUUUUAUGGCGGUUUUGGAGCAGUGGAUUCUUUCUUGCUGAGCGGCCUUUCAGGUUAUGCCGAUAUAGGACUCACUUUACUGUGGAUAUAGAUACUUUUGUACCUGUUUCCUCCAGCAUCUUCACAAGGUCCUAUGCUGUUGUUCUGGCAUUGAUUUGCACUUUUCGCACCAAAGUACGUACAUCUCUAGGAGACAGAACGCAUCUCCUUCCUGAGCUGUAUGGUGGCUGCGUGGUCCCAUGGUGUUUAUACUUGCGUACUAUAGUUUGUACAGAUGAACGUGGUACCUUCAGGCGUUUGGAAAUUGCUCCUAAGGAUGAACCAGACUUGUGGAGGUCUACAAUUUUUUUUCUGAGGUCUUGGCUGAUUUCUUUUGAUUUUCCCAUUAUGUCAAGCAAAGAGGCACUGAGUUUGAAGGUAGGCCUUGAAAUACAUCCACAGGUACACCUCCAAUGGACUCAAAUGAUGUCAAUUAGCCUAUCAGAAGCUUCUAAAGCCAUGCCAUCAUUUUCUGGCAUUUUCCAAGCUGUUUAUUGGCACAGUCAACUUAAUGUAUGUAAACUUCUGACCCACUGGAAUUGUGAUACAGUGAAAUAAUCUGUUUGUAAACAAUUGUUGGAAAAAUUACUUGUGUCAUGCACAAAGUUAGAUGUCCUAACCGACUCACCAAAACUGUAGUUUGUUAACCUGUUGGGGCUAGGGGGCAGUAUUUGCACGGCUGGAUAAAAAAAUGUACCCGAUUUAAUCUGGUUACUAAUCCUACCCAGUAACUAGAAUAUGCAUAUACUUAUUAUAUAUGGAUAGAAAACACUCUAAAGUUUCUAAAACUGUUUGAAUGGUGUCUGUGAGUAUAACAGAACUCAUUUGGCAGGCAAAACCCUGAGACAUUUUCUGACAGGAAGUGGAUACCUGAUGUGUUGUAUUACCUUUAAACCUAUGCCAUUGAAAAACACAGGGGCUGAGGAAUAUUUUGGCACUUCCUAUUGCUUCCACUAGAUGUCACCAGCCUUUACAAAGUGUUUUGAGUCUUCUGGAGGGAGAUCUGACCGAACAAGAGCCAUGGAACGAUGAUGGCCCAUUAGACACC
rnacentral:lncRNA from 1 species